UACGUAGGGUGCAAGCGUUAAUCGGAAUUACUGGGCGUAAAGCGUGCGCAGGCGGUUUGGUAAGACAGAUGUGAAAUCCCCGGGCUUAACCUGGGAAUGGCAUUUGUGACUGCCCGGCUAGAGUGUGUCAGAGGGAGGUGGAAUUCCGACGUGUAGCAGUGAAAUGCGUAGAUAUGUGGAGGAAUACCGAUGGCGAAGGCAG
rnacentral:rRNA from 1 species